rnacentral:rRNA from 1 species
UACGGAGGGUGCAAGCGUUGUUCGGAAUUACUGGGCGUAAAGCGCGCGUAGGCGGUUUUAUAUGUCAGAUGUGAAAGUCCACGGCUCAACCAUGGAAGUGCAUUUGAAACUGUAGAACUUGAGUACUGGAGGGGGUGGUGGAAUUCCCGGUGUAGAGGUGAAAUUCGUAGAUAUCGGGAGGAAUACCGGUGGCGAAGGCGACCACCUGGCCAGAUACUGACGCUGAGGUGCGAAAGCGUGGGGAGCAAACAGG